rnacentral:misc_RNA from 1 species
AUAAAACACCACGUGACUACAAAAUGGCGGUCGCAUUCACACUGGCAUACAACUAUGGUUUUACACGAGUCAUGAGCAGUUAUUAUUUUGAAAACACUGACGCAGGUCCCCCACAUAAUGCCGAUUACUCUGCUAAAGACGUAACUAUCAAUGCUGAUGGGUCUUGUGGUAAUGGAUGGGUAUGUGAACAUCGAUGGAAUCCCGUAGCAAACAUGGUUGUCUUCAGAAAUGCUGUUGCUGGCACAGAUAUUAAGCACUGGAGAAAUGAAAAUGACGAAAUCUCCUUUGCACGUGGACAGAAAGGAUUCUUUGCAAUGGCAAAACAAGGUCACAUGGACCGAAACCUUCAAACUGGCUUACCUGCCGGGGAAUACUGUGACCUGGUUUCGGAUUGUAUGAAAAAGAUCACAGUGGACGGCAGUGGAAAUGCGCACAUCGUAAUUGACAAUAGUGCAGAGCCAAUGUUGGCAUUUAUAGUCGAUGGACCAACAGGGCCUGGAGAUCAUUUCUUUUUCCAGAAGCCGUCGAUCACGUCCUCACCUCCCGAGAAACCACUAGCCAGGCCCCACCAACCGCAGUGGUGUCUACAAGUUAUACCAGCACCACCUUCAAUACUGGUACCACCGAAACCACUGGGAACAGUACCUGGGCAAGAACUGUCAUACUGAUCGAAAGAAACACGAAAAACGGAGAGAAUUUAUUCAUAGACGGAGGAAUUGACCAUGAUCAUAGACAGGGAUGUACUGAUAACCCCGUGACCAGCCCAUGUUCCAUCCCAAUCAGACACAGCCCGGAACCAACGUACUCUGGAGCGGUCAAUGCAUGGAAGGUGGGGGACAAUUACUUGGACUGGUACGGUGCUGAGCCAGGGCAGGGUUCCUACGGAGGGUCCCAGGCCACGGGUUCCCCGGCCCUAUGGACGACAAACCAGAAAGGCGUGGCCGAGUAUAGCCCACUGAACACAUAGGAGCCCAUUUCUGGCUUCGGAUAUUACGAUGGAUUGUUCCAAGACAGAAGUGGCUGGUUUGAGUUCAAGUACCGAAUAAACGGGAACGGGAGGGGCAGAUCCACGACAGGACCUGGGAACCCCUCCAUACACAACCGUCAACCACAUGGCCAAAUGUGGCGCCAAAAAGUCUUCCACAACAAUGGCCAGUGCGAGAUCACAGCGCUAUAAACACCCAUCAUGCAUGAAUAUUCUGAGAUGAUUGUCGCUGUUAUAUUGUAAUAAUAAAUAUACGACUAUGCCUCCU